GAUGAACGCUGGCGGCGUGCCUAAUACAUGCAAGUCGAGCGAACGACUUGGAACUUGGCUCCCUUGUGUUUGGGGCGGGAGGGGUGGGAACCACGUGGAUACCCUACCUUAAGAACGGGAAAACUUUGGGAAAACGUUGCCUAUUCCGGAAAAAUUUUUUGACCGGCAGGGUUCAAAGGUAAAAGCGGGUCUUGCGUUAACUAAAAGUUGGACCGCGCUGCAUUAGCUAGUUGGUUAGGUAACGGCUUACCAAGGCAACGAUGCAUAGCCGACCUGAGAGGGUGAUCGGCCACACUGGAACUGAGACACGGUCCAGACUCCUACGGGAGGCAGCAGUAGGGAAUCUUCCGCAAUGGGCGAAAGCCUGACGGAGCAACGCCGCGUGAGUGAUGAAGGUCUUCGGAUCGUAAAACUCUGUUAUUAGGGAAGAACAUAUGUGUAAGUAACUGUGCACAUCUUGACGGUACCUAAUCAGAAAGCCACGGCUAACUACGUG
rnacentral:rRNA from 1 species